rnacentral:rRNA from 1 species
CCUGGCGGCGAUAGCGCGGUGGUCCCACCUGACCCCUUGCCGAACUCAGAAGUGAAACGCCGUAGCGCCGAUGGUAGUGUGGGGCUUCCCCAUGUGAGAGUAGGGAACUGCCAGGU